GCCAGGUGUGGUGGCGCAUGCCUGUAAUCCCAGCUACUUGGGAGGCUGAGGCAGGAGAAUUGCUUGAACCUGGGAGGCAGAGGUUGCAGUGAGCCAAGAUUACGCCACUGCACUCCAGCCUGGGUGACAGAGCAAGACUCUGUCUCGG
rnacentral:SRP_RNA from 1 species